UUUAACGGCCGCGGGACUCUGACCGUGCGAAGGUACCAUAAUCACUUGUUCUUUAAUGGGGACUUGUAUCAACGGCAUCACGAGGGCCAUACUGUCUCCUUUUUCCAAUCAGUGAAACUGAUCUUCCCGUGAAGAAGCGGGAAUUAACCUAUAAGACGAGAAGACCCCAUGGAGCUUUAAACCCAACAACAAGUCUAAAUAAAUAUACCCUAAAAAUUAAUGACACCUGAACUGUUGGUUUUAGGUUGGGGUGACCGCGGAGUAUAAACUAACCUCCACGACGAACGGGACUAAACCCUUAUCUACGAGCCACCGCUCUAAGAAUCAGCACACUGACUUCUAAUGAUCCGAUAUUCGAUCAACGAACCAAGUUACCCUGGGGAUAACAGCGCUAUCCAUUUCAAGAGCUCCUAUCGACAAAUGGGUUUACGACCUCGAUGUUGGAUCAGGGUAUCCUAGUGGUGCAGCCGCUACUAAAGGUUUGUUUGUUCAACAAUUAAAACCCUACGUGAUC
rnacentral:rRNA from 1 species